rnacentral:rRNA from 1 species
CGCGUAGGCGGUUUGUUAAGUCGGAUGUGAAAGCCCCGGGCUCAACCUGGGAACUGCAUCCGAUACUGGCCGACUAGAGUACGAGAGAGGGAGGUAGAAUUCCACGUGUAGCGGUGAAAUGCGUAGAUAUGUGGAGGAAUACCGGUGGCGAAGGCGGCCUCCUGGCUCGAUACUGACGCUGAGGUGCGAAAGCGUGGGGAGCAAACA